CCCGAUUUGAAAAUACCCCCCAAUUUAAGCGUUUUUUUCGGUAAUCCAUUCNUGUUAUCUGUAAUGAGCUGGGAGCUAACAUCAGUAGCGAGGAAGCUUGUUUGAUUCACGGCGAACGGGAGGUAUACUAAGAUCGGCCUGGUAGUGGGGGACAACGUUUUGAAAGGAACGCUAAUACCGCAUACGUCCUACCGGAGAAAGCAGGGGACUUUCGGCCCUUGCGCUAUCAGAUGAGCCUAGGUCGGAUUAGCUAGUUGGUGAGGUAAUGGCUCACCCAGGCGACGAUCCGUAACUGGUCUGAGAGGAUGAUCAGUCACACUGGAACUGAGACACGGUCCAGACUCCUACGGGAGGCAGCAGUGGGGAAUAUUGGACAAUGGGCGAAAGCCUGAUCCAGCCAUGCCGCGUGUGUGAAGAAGGUCUUCGGAUUGUAAAGCACUUUAAGUUGGGAGGAAGGGUACUUACCUAAUACGUGAGUAUUUUGACGUUACCGACAGAAUAAGCACCGGCUAACUCUGUGCCAGCAGCCGCGGUAAUACAGAGGGUGCAAGCGUUAAUCGGAAUUACUGGGCGUAAAGCGCGCGUAGGUGGUUCGUUAAGUUGGAUGUGAAAUCCCCGGGCUCAACCUGGGAACUGCAUCCAAAACUGGCGAGCUAGAGUAGGGCAGAGGGUGGUGGAAUUUCCUGUGUAGCGGUGAAAUGCGUAGAUAUAGGAAGGAACACCAGUGGCGAAGGCGACCACCUGGGCUCAUACUGACACUGAGGUGCGAAAGCGUGGGGAGCAAACAGGAUUAGAUACCCUGGUAGUCCACGCCGUACCCCCGAUGUCAACUCAGCCGUUGGCACUCCCUGAUGUACCUUUACGUGGCGCAGCAACCGCACUCCUGCUUA
rnacentral:rRNA from 1 species